rnacentral:rRNA from 1 species
AAAAUUCUUUUUUCACCGCCGACUUGCUGGGUUUUCUUGCCAAGGUGGGAGCUCUACUCGUUGCGCACCAUCAUCCGACCGGCCCGACUUUAAUAGUUACCGGCUUGCGAUCGAGCGUGUAUGCUGGGACCCGAAAGAUGGUGAACUAUGCCUGAAUAGGGUGAAGCCAGAGGAAACUCUGGUGGAGGCUCGUAGCGGUACUGACGUGCAAAUCGUUCGUCAAAUUUGGGUAUAGCGGCGAAAGACUAAUCGAACCAUCUAGUAGCUGGUUCCCUCCGAAGUUUCCCUUAGGAUAGCUGGAGCUCAUACAAGUUUUAUCAGGUAAAGCGAAUGAUUAGAGGCCUCGGGGGUGAAACAUCCUCGACCUAUUCUCAAACUUUAAAUAGGUAAGAGGUCCUUGCCACUUAAUUGGGCAUGGGCAUUGAAUUGGAGCUCCAAGUGGGCCAUUUUUGGUAAGCAGAACUGGCGAUGCGGGAUGAACCGAAAGUCGUGUUAAGGUGUUUAACUGUCGGCUCAUGUAGACCCCACAAAGGGUGUUGGUUCAUAUAAACAGCAGGACGGUGGCCAUGGAAGUCGGAAUCCGCUAAGGAGUGUGUAACAACUCACCUGCCGAAUGCAUCAGCCCUGAAAAUGGAUGGCGCUCAAGCGCGUGGCCGAUACACCGCCGCCAGGGCGGAGCUUAAGCCCUGGUGAGUAGGAGGGCGUCGGGCUCGUGUAGAAGCCUUGGGCGUGAGCCCGGGGGGAACGGGCUCGAGGGCAGAUCUUGGUGGAAGUAGC